GCCAAGAUUCUUAUAGGCGGAUGGUGGAUGCCUUGGGAGAUUGAGGCGAUGAAGGACGCGGCGUGACUGCGAUAAGCCUCGGGUAGGUGUCUAGCAACCUUUAAUCCGGGGAUUUCCGAAUGGGGAAACCCAUCUCGAUGAUAAAUCGGGAUAUCCCGCAGCAAUGCGGGAAGUGAACCCGCUGAAGUGAAACAUCCCAGUAAGCGGAGGAAAAAAUAACAAUCGUUUAUUCCCUUAGUAGCGGCGAGCGAAGAGGGAAGAGUCCAAACCUAUCAAUGCUUCGCAUUGGAAAUUCGAAAUUCGAAUAUCGAAAUUCGAAACAAUAUCUAAAUUAUAAUUCUCAAAAUUCAAAACGUGUUUCGGAUUUCGGAUUUCGUGCUUCGUGCUUCCACUGCGAAGCAGUGGUGGGGGUUGUAAGAAGUUAACGUCGGGAGCAUUGUUAAAUACAGCUCGAAGAGUUCGUAUUUAAUAAUGCUAUUCGAGGGAGAAAACCUAGGCGAAGUUUGUCCAGUAGAGCAACUUCGACAUCCCGCUGAAAGCGGGAUAAUACUGCGUAGCAGGUCGAAGAUGUCUUACUGGGUUUGGUUAAUCGAAACCUCCUGGAAAGGGGUACCAAAGAUGGUAAAAGUCCAGUAGAUGAAAAUCACUUCGUGCUCCUUGUUAUCUAUCUUGAGUACCUCGGGAAACGAAAACCCUGAGGGAACCAGGCCGGACUAACCGGCUAAGACUAAAUACUCAAUCUCACCGAUAGUGAACCAGUACCGUGAGGGAAAGGUGAAAAGUAGCCCGGUGAGGGCGGUGAAAUAGUACCUGAAACCAUCUGCUUACAAAAAGUCGGAGCCCGUCCGCAAGGAUUAGGGUGACGGCGUACUUUUUGGAGAACGAACCAACGAGUUCGAAUACAUAGCGAGUCUAAUCCCGUUUCGGGAGAUGGCGUAGCGAAAGCGAGUGUAAAAAGCGCGUUUUAGCUUUGUAUUUGAGACCCGAAGCCAAGCGAGCUUGCCAUGGACAGGGUGAACCCCGGAGAAAUCUGGGGGGAGGCCCGAACCCGUAGACCGUGCAAUAUCUUGGGAUGAUCUGCGGCAAGAAGAGAAAACCUAAACGAGCUUGGUAAUAGCUGGUUCUCCCCGAAAUAGCUUUGGGGCUUGCGGCGUCAUGUUGUUUUUCUGGAGGUAGAGCACUGAAUGGUUUAUUUUGAGUUUACUCAGAUGAACCAAUCAAACUCCGAAUGCCGGAAAAAUUAGACGCCAGUAGGACCAUGGGGGCUAAGCUCCGUGGUCAAAAGGGUAACAGCCCAGAUCUUCAUCUAAGGUCCCUAAACUAGGCUAAGUGUUUUUAAGGAAGUGAGAUUCCAUUGAUAGUUAGGAGGUUAGCUCAGAAGCAGCUAUCCUUUAAAAAGUGCGUAAUAGCUUACUAACUAAGGAGUCUUGCGCUAAAGAUUGCCGGGACUAAGCUUAGUACCGAAGAUAAGGAUGAGUACAUAUUUUUAUGUGCUCGUGGUAGGGGAGCGUCCCUAUUGCAGUGAAGUCAAACUGUAAGGUUUGAUGGAGCGAUAGGGAGUGAAAAUGUUGGUAUGAGUAACCGCAAUACCGCUGAAAAAGCGGUACACCGAAAGCCCAAGGUUUCCUUGGCAAUGUUUAUCAGCCAAGGGUUAGGCGAGCCUUAGUCCUAUUCCGAAAGGGAAGGAUGAUGGAUAGCCGGUUAAUAUUCCGGCCCGGCCGCAAAAUAAUCUUGAAGCGACGCAAUCAAAAUUUUUGGGAGGAUUAUUGGAUUUCCGAGGCAGGGAGCAAUCCCUGCCGCCUCAAAGACAAGGUUGCCAAGAAAAACUUCAAGUAUACUAUUUUGUUGCCUUCGUACCUCAAACUGACACAGGUGGGCUGGCGUAAAUGCGCCAAGGUGAACGGGUGAAACCUCGUUAAGGAACUCGGCAAAAAAGUGGUCGUACGUUCGCAAUAAGACCUACCCUAAAUCCGCAAGGGUUUGGGGUCGCAGCUAAAGUACCCUUGGCGACUGUUUAACAAAAACACAGGUCCCUGCUAAUUUGUAAAAAGAUGUAUAGGGGCUGAGUCCUGACCAGCGUCGGAACGUUAAAGGUGGCGGUCAUUGCCGCAAGGUGAUGGCUAACUGCCCGAAGCGCCGAUAAGCGUCCGCGGUAACUAUAACCGUGUUAAAGUAGCGUAACCCCUUGCCAGGUAAGUUCUGGCCCGCAUGAAAGGAUUAACGACUUGGGGACUGUCUCAACGAGGCGCCCGGUGAAAACACAAUACCGGUAAAGAUGCCGGUUACCUGCGGCUAGACGGAAAGACCCCGAGAGCUUUACUGUAGUCAGGCAUUGAGUUUUGGUAUUGGAUGCGUAGCGUAGCGGGCAGGCUUUGAAGUUCCGACUUCGGUCGGGAUGGAGCCGCCAAUGAAACACCCGUCUUUCAAAAUCUUUAUUCUAAUCCCGUUAAAAACGGGACACAGUGCUUGAUGGGCAGUUUAGGUGGGGCGCUUGCCUUAAUUUAUGGGGCCUCUAAAGAGUGAUCUUUAGAGCAAACUCGACUAAUAUGCUGGAACAUCCGAGUAUCCAAAAGUACUUAAUCUUGAUAAAGUUAAGUAAUAAUCUUUUGGUGCGGACAAUCAGCAGGGAAAUUGCUUUUUAAGCAAUACCUUCAACGACUGCACGUCGAGUCCCCGUGAGAUAUAGUACUUCUCAUGGGGUGGUGAUACAGUCUGAACUCUAUGGCGACAUAGAGAUCCGGUAGACGGUUAAUUAUAGCGUCCCUUAACCAAUCCGGAACUUAAGCUCAAAAGUUUAUGCGGAGUAAAGUAAUCGAAGAAUAUAAAAGUAGACUAUCUUUGAGUAAAAGACAGAAAGAAAUUCUGAUUGGACUUAUAUUGGGAGAUGGCCAUUUGGAAAAACUUUAUACUCCCAUAUUAGGAAGGUUAAAAGUAGAACACAGUUACAAACAGAAAGAUUAUGUAGAUUGGCUUUAUGACGAAUUUAGAAAUUGGGUAGGAAGUAAACCAAAAACAAGAAAAGUAAAUGUAUGGGGAAGAUUAAGGAAGAAUUACAGGUUUUCUACUUAUGGUCAUAGAAUUUUAGGAAAAUUCCAAGAAAGAUUUUAUGAAAGAAAGAAGAAAAUCGUCCCGAACGAUUUAGAGAAAGAUAUCACUCCUUUGGGAUUAGCGAUUUGGUAUAUGGAUGACGGAUCAAUUAAAUCGAGAAAACACAAGGGUUUAUUUUUAAACACCCAAGGAUUUAAAGAGGAUGAUGUGAAAAGACUUCAAGAUGUAUUGAAAAUUAAAUUCGGAAUUAAAAGCACCACAAAGAAAGAUAAAAAUGGAAAGCAAAUUUAUUUGGGAGGAAAAUCCGGAGAAAAGUUUAUUGCACUGAUAAAACCACACAUAAUUUCUUCGAUGAAAUAUAAAAUUCCAAGAGUUUUAAGGUUAACAGAAUUGCCUAAAGAGUAACGGAGGCGUUUAAAGGUCAGCUAGCUCCGGAUGGAAAUCGGAGCGGUCGUGUAAAGGCGCAAGCUGGCUUAACUGCAAGGCGUAUAUGCCGCGCAGUUGCGAAAGCAGAACUUAGUGAACCGACGGAUUUUAGUAGAAAAUCCGAAGAUCAUCAGCUAAAAGUUACCUCGGGGAUAACAGGCUAGUAGGGCCCGCGAGUCCAUAUCAACGGCCCUGUUCGGCACCUUAAUAUAUCGGGGUGCCAUAGUAGUAAUACUAUAAUCCUUAUAGCCUACUUAUGUUGUUUCAUAAGUUUAUUAAAGGAUAAAAAAUUGGCUUAUAACGGUGGACACCAUAUAAUAAAAUUCACGGCAGAAAUGUUAAAAUAAAUUAUAUGGUCAAUACCGUGGGAAGUUUAGCUCAAUUUCAAAAAUCACUAAUUAUUGGAACAAUAUUAGGUGAUGGAUAUUUACGUAUAGUUCCAGGAAGGAAAAAUGCCUUUCUGGAAAUAAAUCAUUCUUUUUCUCAAAAAGAAUAUGUUGAUUGGAAAUUUGAGAAAUUGAAAAACAUUUGUAAUUCUGGUCCAAUUGCAAGAAAAGGCAAUGGCAAUAGAAUUGCAUAUCGGUUUUAUACAAAACAAUAUCCAGAACUUACCGAAAUUUAUAAUAGUUUUUAUAAAAACGGGAAUAAAAUUGUUCCAGAUAAUUUAAAACUUGAUGCAGUGGCAUUAAGCGUGUGGUUUAUGGACGAUGGAAGUAAAUGCGGAAAAUCUAAUUUUUAUCUUAACACUCAACAAUUUAGUAAAAACUAUCAAAUAAAAUUAUUAAAUUGCUUGGGAAAACUAGAUCUAAAAGCGAAUUUAAAUAAAGAUAAAAAUUAUUACCGCAUAAGAUUUCUCAGCUCGUCCAGUAAUAAAUUAAAGGAAUUAUUAAAAGAAAAUUUAAUUCCUUCAAUGUAUUAUAAAAUUGGGUUAUAACCCCGUAGAGACUUGUUCUAAAAAAGAACAGAUAGAAAUUUAAAAAAUUUCUAUAACACGCCAACUCCAUUAGAAGCUCGGUAGGCGAAGAGAAUUUUAUUCUCUUCUUCACCUCAGCUAAAGCUUCGGUGGAAGAAGAUAUAGUCCGAUCCUCCAAGUAAUUGGAGAAAAAUACCGACAGCGAUGUCGGCUCAACACAUCCUGGGGGUGAAGUAGCUCCCAAGGGUCUGGCUGUUCGCCAGUUAAAGUGUUACGUGAGCUGGGUUCAAAUCGUCGUCUAGGCGACACUAUUCAGUAAUGAUUAGUGAAAAAACUGACUAAUAUCGGUGAAGUCCUUGCAUUACAAACUGUCGUAUGCUAGGAUAAUACCGAGGGAAGUCGUAAACCUUUAUACCUAUGAAUAAUCUUUCCAAUGUUCAGAAAUCAUACAUAGCAGGAUUUUUGGACGGAGAUGGCAGCAUUUACGUAAAGCUUACAAGAAACGAUACUUAUCGAUUUGGAUAUCAAGUAGCGCCAUAUAUAGUGUUUUAUCAAAGAAAAGAUUAUAAAGAUUAUUUUGAGACCCUAAGAAAAAUGUUGGGGAUAGGUUAUAUAAGAAUAAGAAAAGAUGGAAUUGUAGAAUAUAUUAUUGGAGAUCUUGAUUCAUUGAAAAAAUUCAUAAAUCAAAUUUCUCCAUAUAGUAGGUUGAAAAAAAGACAAUUCAGAUUAAUGUCAGAAAUUUUAGAGAAGAAAAGAACGGUAAAAACAGCGAAAGAUUUUAUUCGAUUAAGCAAACUGAUAGAUCAAUUUAAGAAUUUAAAUUAUUCUAAAAAAAGAUCUCAAACUUCUUAUUCUGUUGAAAAAUUAUUAAAAAAUAAGGGUUUAUUGACCCCGUAGAGACUUUCUGCCGCAGAGGCAGAGGAUGGAAGUUUUAAGCUUUCAUAAUACGUCAGUCACCUGUUAAAUAGUGCCAAUGGCAAUUUAACAGGUUGGUGAUAUAGUCCAUACACUUAGUAAUAGGUGACCAUUAUGCGUAAGACAGGUUGGUCCCUAUCUACCGCAGGCGUUGAGUCUUGAGGGGAGUUCUCCCUAGUACGAGAGGACCGGGAGGAACUGACCUCUGGUGUACCAGCUGUUCCGCCAGGAGCAUUGCUGGGUAGCUAACGUCGGGACCUGAUAAACGCUGAAAGCAUCUAAGCGUGAAGCAGACCCCAAGAUUAGGACUCUUAGAUUUCCCGGAGAUUACGGGAUUGAUAGACUACAGGUGUAAGUCCGGCAACGGAUUGAGCCGAGUAGCACUAAUAAAUC
rnacentral:rRNA from 1 species